UAAUUCCGUGCCAGCAGCCGCGGUAAUACGGAAGGUGCAAGCGUUAUCCGGUUUUAUUGGGUUUAAAGGGUGCGUAGGCGGCUUAUUAAGUCAGUUGUGAAAUCCUAGUGCUUAACGUUAGAACUGCGAUUGAUACUGAUAGGCUUGAGUCAAGAAGAGGUAAGUAGAAUUUAUGGUGUAGUAGUGAAAUGCUUAGAUAUCAUAAGGAAUACCAAAAGCGAAGGCAGCUUACUGGUCUUGAACUGACGCUGAGGCACGAAAGCGUGGGGAGCAAACAGGAUUAGAUACCCUGGUAGUCCACGCCGUAAACGAUGAUCACUCGAUAUACACGUAGAUCGUGUGUGUCCAAGCGAAAGCGUUAAGUGAUCCACCUGGGGAGUAUACUCGCAAGGGUGAAACUCAAAGGAAUUGACGGGGGUCCGCACAAGCGGUGGAGUAUGUUGUUUAAUUCGAUAAUACGCGAGGAACCUUACCUGGGCUAGAAUGUGUUUUGCUACCUUGAGAAAUUGAGGGUUCCUUCGGGACAGGACACAAGGUGCUGCAUGGCUGUCGUCAGCUCGUGCCGUGAGGUGUUGGGUUAAGUCCUAUAACGAGCGCAACCCUUUUACUUAAUUGCCAGCACGUAAUGGUGGGGACUUUAAGUAGACUGCCCGUGUAAGCGGGAGGAAGGAGAGGAUGAGGUCAAGUCAUCAUGGCCUUUAUGCCCAGGGCUACAAACGUACUACAAUGGCGUGUACAGAGGGAAGCUACUUGGUAACAAGAUGCAAAUCUCAAAAGCACGUCUCAGUUCAGAUUGGGGUCUGCAAUUCGACCCCAUGAAGUUGGAAUCGCUAGUAAUCGCGUAUCAGCAAUGACGCGGUGAAUACGUUCUCGGACCUUGUACACACCGCCCAUCAAGCCAUGGGA
rnacentral:rRNA from 2 species